AGUCAACAUAACCAAAGGACGUGGAUAAACUCGGGAAACUGAGGCUAAACCGCGAUAGAUCAAGAUACCUGGAAUGGUUUUUGAUCAAAAUCUAUAUGGCCUUUGGAUUGGACUGCGUCCGAUCAGGCUGUUGGUGAGGUAAUGGCCCACCAAACCUAUAACCGGUACGGGCUCUGAGAGGAGGAGCCCGGAGAUGGGUACUGAGAUAAGGACCCAGGCCCUAUGGGGCGCAGCAGGCGCGAAACCUCUGCAAUAGGCGAAAGCUUGACAGGGUUACUCUGAGUGACUUUCGUUAAGAAAGUCUUUUGACACCUCUAAAAAUGGUGUAGAAUAAGGGGUGGGCAAGUCUGGUGUCAGCCGCCGCGGUAAUACCAGCACCCCGAGUGGUCGGGACGAUUAUUGGGCCUAAAGCAUCCGUAGCUGGCCUUACAAGUCCUCCGUUAAAUCCAGCUGCUUAACGGAUGGGCUGCGGAGGAUACUAUAAGACUAGGAGGCAGGAGAGGCAAGCGGUACUCAGUGGGUAGGGGUAAAAUCCGUUGAUCCAUUGAAGACCACCAGUGGCGAAGGCGGCUUGCCAGAAUGCGCUCGACGGUGAGGGAUGAAAGCUGGGGGAGCAAAUCUGAUUAUAUACCCGGGUAGUCCCUUCUCUUAACGAUGCUUACUCAGGUGAUGGACUAAGUUUUAUGCUAGGUCCAG
rnacentral:rRNA from 1 species